rnacentral:misc_RNA from 1 species
GCUACCUCCACCAAUCCACCCCUUAUCUUUGAGUGCCUCAUUGCCCUUCUUUGCCGGUGAGGAGGGAGCGGGUCGAUGCACGAAAAAAAAAACGAAUAUCGGCACAUCCGGGGCAGCGACGACCACACCACGCUCGCAUAAGCCCUGUGCGUGUGUGUGUGUGUGUGUGCCUGUUUGUGUAGUUCACAACCCUCCUCCUCUCCCCUUUUCUUUUGUGUGAGCAUUUCUUCUGCUGCUCUGCGUCACACAUGGCACACGUGGUGCAUCGAGAAAUAGAUGUACACCCCUCGCACACCCCACACCGCCGAGCCUACAGCCACACGGAGAAUAGAAAAGGGGAGUGCCACCGGCAGUGCCGCCUCCCUUUUCAUUGUAAACAAUGCAGUGCCGUGCUCCUUUUGAAAUCAGGAAAACACAAAAUCGAAACUUAUCAUCAUCGCAUGAGGACUGGAAAACGAACGCAAGCCGAAGUUGUAUGUUGCGUCCCCCAUCCACUAUCUUUCUUCACGAACAAUAGGCUACGUGGGUCGUGUUCCCGGGUGUGCGUGCAGCGUGCGACGGUGCAUGAUUGGCCUCUGAAUGGAAGAGAUCCCACUUGAGCAGCACAGAGAGAUGCGCUCUCGCACGCACGAGCAACAUACACCGGAUCGCACGCUCGCGGAUAGUCACCCGCGACAAGAGCUUGGCUUUGCGCGAGAGUGAGGCAUCCGCACACGCGGGGUCACUAGAUCCCUCACAUGGGCGGCUUUCUCUCCGCGCUGUGAGAGGUGUUCUCCGAGUGCAAGAUGCUAGACCUGUGAUUUGGUGGGGCCGGGGAGGCGUUUUAGGGCGUCGUUGCUGAAGGCGUUGGCAGCACUAUACCUCGAAGGGAGCAUCCCCACUGUUGGUCUGAGCGUGAAGACGCUGCGUGCAAGGACAAAAAGAGGUGGGGCUCAGCCAAAGUUGUGGGGCGUAGGUGGCCAAGAGCGUUUCCGGCGCCGGAUGACCGCGCACCCAUCCAAAGAGUGCAGCCGCAUGACUUGCUGCAUGGGUGCGAGCGACUACCGGCGCGCCGAGCCGGCUGGACGGAAGCUGAACAGGCUACUCAACAGUGCUGCUCCACACAAGCUGCCGCUACUCGUGUGUCUGAGCAAGAUUGACCGCGACCCUUUGCAUGAGCACAGAGGCGUACAUCGCGCUGCUGCAGUUGAGGAAUAUAGAAAACAACCUCUACAUUGUCUUGCACAUUCCCUCGUGUACGCAAGGAAGCAGCAACGGGGCUGUGGACUGGCUUGUGGGCUAGGGAAAUCGCACGAGUGCGUUCUCAGACGUCGGCAUACGCCAAUGAUGCAAGGACGCGAGGAACCGACGGACGCACAAGUUCGGGCUUCUGGGCAGGCCGUUGUGCGCCCGCGGCGCAGCCUUACUGCAGAGACACGGAUGAACGAGAAACAAGACAAGGAAGCUAGCAACCUAAAGCGAAGGUAAGCGUCUUUCCAACCCCUUUUUUUUUGCUUGUGUGUCGCUCGUUUCGCUUCACCACCACCACCAGAGUCCCUCAGCACCAUGGCUCAUGGCAAGCGCAUUGCUGCCUGCCAUGUGCUAGCCCAUUCCACAAAUUUCUUGCCACCUGCCAUCUAUAUCUUGUUCAGUCGUUUUGUUGUUGCGUCUCACCGGCUGUGACUUUUUCUGCACAGCGCCGCACAUCCGAGAGACAGGGAGAGGACAGGGAGUGCUGCUGCUACGCUUGAGUGCGACACCUCGUCUCCAUGGACAGGCUUCCCUCUCUUUACCAUCCUUUCAUGCUUAUGCUGUGUGCCCAUUUCUGCUCUGUCCCUUUUUUUUUGGGCUUUGCUGCUGAGAAAUGGCGGCUGUGUGG